GAUCAAAGUUGCUGUCACUGCCACUUGGCAGCUUCUAAUAAGUUCACUGUAUCCGGGACCCACUCAUAUCGAUUUUACUCUAUCCACCCCUCUUCUCGUGCUCCCGCAAAAAAAAAAAAAAAAAAAAAAAUCAGUUUGGUUCGUUGGCGCUGCUUUAUUCAUGCAAAAAAACGGAGACGAAGAUCGAAUUACAACAAUAAACCCUAGUUUUCUAAAAUCGAUAUGUACGGUUAGUUUGCUACUUUAAUAUUUUGCAAUUUUGAUCAUAGAUCCUAUUCGUACAUCUGUAAUCCACAUACACGGAUGCAUGUAAGGUUUAUCGAAUUAUCGAGCGAUUGUUAUGCGAGUCACUGAUUUGAUGUAUGUUUUAGAUUCACAAGUUGUUUCGUUGUUUGAAUCGGUAUUUGAUUUUUGUAUCUUAGAGUUGGAAUGUUGUGAUUAAGUUGUUUGAAAGAGUAAUAGUGAGGGUUUUGAAUCCUAAUUUUUAGGAAUUAGGGUUUACGUUGUGUUAUUUGAUAGUUUCUGAAGUUGUUGAGGAGUACGGUUAGGAUGGGGGAAGGGGAGGGUUGUGUGGUGGUGGUGAGUAAUGUUGGGGAAAUGGAAGAUGAGAAAAAUCAGCAAAAGCGUGACCGGCAGUGGCUAACGGGUGAUUCUGAUAGGGAAUGUGUGGCCAAAAAACAGGGAAAAGAGGGUUUAGGUGAGGAUGAAGUUGAUCGUUGUGCUAUGAAUCAAUCAGAGGUUGCUCUGGAUUCUGUUGAAGAAAAGCCUUGUGCUAACGGGAUGCUCACGGAGGGUUUAGAUGUUACUAAACUUGAGCCAUGUGGUAGAAGACAAACAGCAGAAGCUCUAAGUGACAAUAUGGCAAACACUUCUGAUAAGGUGACAGUACAAGAGACCUGUGAAAUUAUGCAAGCACAUGACUCUUUAAAUUGUAUUGGUGUAAAUCGUUCGAUUGAGCAGUUUGUUAAUGACGAUUUAAAUGACAUGGAGCUAGAUUCUGCUGGCGAGAAGCGCUCGUCAGGAGUUUCAAAUGAUAUGGAAAUGGAGACUGUAAUUGAGCAGCCUGUUAAGGAGUGCCCGGAUGAGAUGGAACUAGAAACGCAUGGUAGUAUGCAGAGAACAGGGGUUGAAAUUGACAUUGAACCAGAGUCUUUUAUUAAGCAGCCUGUCAAAGAAUGUUCACAUGAGAUGGAAACCGAUGGUUUUGUCAAGAUUCAACCAACAGAUCCUUUGAAUGAGAAUGCACCAGAUUCUUCUGUUCAGCAACCCGUUAAAGAAUGUCUGCAUGAUAUGGAAUUAGAGGUUUGCGUAAGGAAGCAGACAACACAAUCUUCAAAUGAUAUUGAAAUAGAGUCUUCCUCUGUUACCAAGCAGACAUCACAGGCCUUGGAUAAUACUACACUGGAGUUUUCUGCUGAUAAAUUUAUUAAGGAGUGUCAAAAUGAGAUAGUAUUAGAUCCUUGCUCCAAGAAGGAGGUGAAUGAGGCUUCAAAUGAUGAUAUAAGUUCUGAGGUUUCGAAUCCAAAUGUAUCUCCUCGUGAUAAUUCUUUGAGUUUCCAGACUGUUAAUAGCCAACCAGAUGGAAAGCUUGUCAUGACAGGCCAAGCUGUUUGCGGUGAAAUUACGUCGGCUUGUAUUGGGAACUCAGGCAGUGAGGGGAGCUCAAGCCAAGAAGAACAGUGUACAAAUAAUACAUCUGUUACAGUGUCAACAUCACAUGUUGUAUUAGAGGUUCCAAAGCAUGCUAGUACUUCUUCUGGUAUUAGGAAAAUCACCUUCAAGUUCAGCAAACGGAAGGAAGACUAUGGUAAUCAAUUGUCUGCAUCUGCUGUGAAACGUAUGGGUGGUGGUUUCGAUAAUGGUACCCGUAAGGUACCCAGGUUAACCUAUGUUAGUGAGCAAGGGCUGCAUGAACCUGGUGAUUCUAUUCCUGAUAGUUAUCCUACUACUGUUAAAAAGCUCUUAUCAACUAGAAUACUGGAUGGAGCCAAAGUGAAAUAUAUUUCUACCUCAGGGGAGCUUAUUGGAAUUAUUAAGGACUGUGGAUAUUUAUGUGGAUGUGCAACAUGUAAUUUUUCUAAUGUUCUUCGUGCUCAUGAGUUUGAGGGACAUGCUGGUGGAAAAACUAGGCACCCUAAUAAACACAUAUAUCUGGAAAAUGGAAAACCUAUUUACAGCAUAAUUCAGGCAAUGAAAACUGUUCCUUUCAGCACCGUAGAUGAAGCAAUAAGAAAUGUAGCUGGUUCAUCUGUCAAUGAGGAACUCCUCCAGGUUUGGAAAGGGAGUCUUCAAAGAAACACCGACAAGGAUAAGAUAGAUGAAAUCCAUCAUUCAAAGCUUAUGAAUUUGUAUCAUUCAACAGCAAGCUGCACCAGCCACACGCGAGAAGAUUGUUCAAGCCCGUUCUAUUGUUAUCGUAAGAGCUUCACUUUGGAACCUCCAACAUUUGUUAGUGAGACCUUGAAGGAGCGGAAAGACCUGUUUAAGAAGCCAAGGUCAUACACAUAUAGCCCUGUUGUUGAAACCAAACGAAGUGCUGAAGGUGGCCAAAGGAAAAGGGAUAAUGAUUUACAUCGCUUACUUUUUAUGCCUAAUGGGCUUCCAGAUGGGACUGAACUGGCUUAUUAUGCCAGAGGGAAGAAGAUACUUGAUGGUUACAAGCAAGGGAAUGGUAUAUUUUGUAGCCAUUGUGACACCGAGGUCAGUCCUUCACAGUUUGAAGCUCAUGCUGGAUGGACUGCCAAACGGCAACCAUAUCGCCAUAUAUAUAUUUCUAACGGCCUGUCACUCCAUGAUAUAGCUCUGUUACUUGCAAAUGGUCAAAGUAUUGCCACUAGCAAUAGUGAUGAUAUGUGUACAGUAUGUGGAGAUAGAGGAGAGCUGGUUUUUUGUGAUGGCUGCCCUCGUGCUUUCCAUGCAGGUUGUUUGGGAUUGGAGGGUGUUUCUUCUGAAGAUCGGCACUGUACGUAUUGUAGAGACAGUGUUGGUUCUGGUAGAAAAGCUACUGCAGAGUCCAGACCGAUUGUUAUCCGACUGACCCGCGUUGUUAAAGCCAGAGAAUACGAAACAGGUGGCUGUGUUAUUUGCAGGGCCCAGGAUUUUAGUGUUGCUGAAUUUGACGACCGGACAAUGAUGUUAUGUGAUCAAUGUGAGAAGGAGUACCAUGUUGGUUGUUUAAGAGAGAGUGGAAGAUGCGAUUUGAAGGCACUCCCGUCUGAUAAAUGGUUUUGUUGCAAUCACUGUGAUUUGAUCCACGGUGCUAUUCAAGAUGUGGUUGUCAGUGGAGCAGCUGUAAUUUCAGGUUCAAUAAUGAGUACAAUUAACAGGAAACACAUAGAGAAAGGUUUUGUUAGUGGAGCUCCAAAUGAAAUUAAGUGGCGGAUGUUAAGUGGGAAAAGCCGCUAUCCUGAACAUUUGCCGCUGCUGUCAAGGGCUGCUGCCAUUUUUCGGGAGUGUUUUGAUCCCAUUGUUGCAAUAUCUGGCCGUGAUCUGAUACCUGUAAUGGUAUACGGGUAACCAUGUGUAUCAUUAUCAGAAAGCACAAAGGCUUUUAAAUAUAAAGGCUUCGUGAACCAUUACAUCAUGACUUUUCAAUAUUCAGGAGAAACAUAUCUGGGCAAGAGUUUGGAGGAAUAUAUUGUGUUGUUCUUAUGGUGGGGUCAAUAGUUGUAUCUGCAGGUCUCCUGAGAGUUUUUGGGCGGGAGGUUGCCGAGCUCCCGCUGGUAGCUACCAGUAGACAACACCAAGGGAAGGGAUAUUUCCAAGCUCUCUUCUUUUGUAUUGAGGAAUUACUCUUGUCAAUGGGUGUUGAACUCCUUGUGCUUCCUGCUGCUGAAGAAGCCGAGUCUAUAUGGACCAAGAAGUUGGGUUUUAGAAAGAUGAGUGAUGAGCGGUACUCAGAGUUCGCGCGGGACAUCCAGCUGACCAUAUUUAAGGGAACAUCAAUGCUUGAGAAGGAAUUGCAUCACGCUACAUCAUAAUCUUUUUGUUCUUUCUGCUUCGUGUCUGCUGGACGAGAGUCAAUAUCGACGCAUAAAGCUCAAGUUAUAUAAAGAUUUUUUUUUAGCUUUAAAGGCAGUCUAGUUUUUAUAAACUGAGAAAGCACAAACUAGAGGAAAAUGGGCAUGUAAGCCUUUGCUUUUAUUUGGCAUACAUAUAUGGAUGUAAAUUGAAAGGGUUCUCGAGACAAGUUGAACACAUUUCGAAACGUGCUUUAUAUUUGUAUUUA